AUUGAACGCUGGCGGCAUGCUUUACACAUGCAAGUCGAACGGCAGCGCGGGCUUCGGCCUGGCGGCGAGUGGCGAACGGGUGAGUAAUACAUCGGAACGUGCCCAGUAGUGGGGGAUAGCUCGGCGAAAGCCGGAUUAAUACCGCAUACGACCUGAGGGUGAAAGCGGGGGAUCUUCGGACCUCGCGCUAUUGGAGCGACCGAUGGCAGAUUAGCUAGUUGGUGGGGUAAAGGCCUACCAAGGCGACGAUCUGUAGCUGGUCUGAGAGGACGACCAGCCACACUGGGACUGAGACACGGCCCAGACUCCUACGGGAGGCAGCAGUGGGGAAUUUUGGACAAUGGGCGAAAGCCUGAUCCAGCAAUGCCGCGUGCGUGAUGAAGGCCUUCGGGUUGUAAAGCACUUUUGGCGGGAACGAAAAGGACUGUGCCAAUACCACGGUUCGAUGACGGUACCAGCAGAAUAAGCACCGGCUAACUACGUG
rnacentral:rRNA from 1 species